UACGUAGGGGGGCAAGCGUUGUCCGGAUUCAUUGGGCGUAAAGGGUGCGUAGGCGGCGCGGUAAGUCGGGUGUGAAAUCUCGGGGCUUAACUCCGAAACUGCAUUCGAUACUACCGUGCUUGAGGACUGGAGAGGAGACUGGAAUUUACGGUGUAGCGGUGAAAUGCGUAGAUAUCGUAAGGAAGACCAGUGGCGAAGGCGGGUCUCUGGACAGUUCCUGACGCUGAGGCACGAAGGCCAGGGGAGCAAACGGG
rnacentral:rRNA from 1 species